rnacentral:rRNA from 1 species
GACGAACGCUGGCGGCGUGCCUAAUACAUGCAAGUCGAGCGAAGUUUUUCUGGUGCUUGCCCUAGAAAAACUUAGCGGCGAACGGGUGAGUAACACGUAAAGAACCUGCCUCAUAGACUGGGACAACUAUUGGAAACGAUAGCUAAUACCGGAUAACAGUAUUUCUCGCAUGAGAGAUAUUUAAAAGUUGGUUAUGCUAACACUAUGAGAUGGCUUUGCGGUGCAUUAGCUAGUUGGUGGGGUAAAGGCCCACCAAGGCGACGUUGCAUAGCCGACCUGAGAGGGUGAUCGGUCACACUGGGACUGAGACACGGCCCAGACUCCUACGGGAGGCAGCAGUAGGGAAUCUUCCGCAAUGGGCGAAAGCCUGACGGAGCAACGCCGCGUGAGUGAAGAAGGAUUUCGGUUCGUAAAGCUCUGUUGUUAGGGAAGAAUGGAUAUGUAGUAACUAUACAUGUAAGAGACGGUACCUAAGCAGAAAGCCACGGCUAACUACGUG